rnacentral:rRNA from 1 species
UGCAAGUCGAACGAGAAAGUUCCUUCGGGAGCAAUUAAAGUGGCGCACGGGUGAGUAACGCGUAGACAAUCUGCCCUUCAGUCUGGGACAACUUUUCGAAAGGAGAGCUAAUACCGGAUAACAUUGCAUGACACAAGUUGUAUAUUUGAAAGCUUUAUGUGCUGAAGGAGGGGUCUGCGUCCCAUUAGCUAGUUGGUAAGGUAAAGGCUUACCAAGGCAACGAUGGGUAGCGGGUUUGAGAGGACGAUCCGCCACACUGGAACUGAGACACGGUCCAGACUCCUACGGGAGGCAGCAGUGGGGAAUAUUGCACAAUGGAGGCAACUCUGAUGCAGCAAUGUCGCGUGAGUGAAGAAGGCCCUUGGGUCGUAAAGCUCUUUUAUGGGGGAAGAUGAUGACGGUACCCCAAGAAUAAGCACCGGCUAACUAUGUGCCAGCAGCCGCGGUAAUACAUAGGGUGCGAGCGUUGUUCGGAAUUACUGGGCGUAAAGGGCGCGCAGGCGGAAUAGUAAGUCGGAGGUGAAAGCCCGGGGCUCAACCCCGGAGGGUCUUUCGAAACUACUAAUCUAGAGAGGGUCAGGGGCCGGCAGAAUUCCUGGUGUAGAGGUGAAAUUCGUAGAUAUCAGGAGGAAUACCGGUGGCGAAGGCGGCCGGCUGGGGCCACUCUGACGCUGAGGCGCGAAAGCGUGGGGAGCAAACAGGAUUAGAUACCCUGGUAGUCCACGCCGUAAACGAUGAGCACUGGACGUCCGGAGGGUUCGACCCUUCUGGGUGUCUCAGCUAACGCAUUAAGUGCUCCGCCUGGGGAGUACGGUCGCAAGACUAAAACUCAAGGAAUUGGCGGGGGCUCGCACAGCGGUGGAACAUGUGGUUUAUUCGAUGCACGCGAAGAACCUUACCUGGUCUUGACAUCCUC